GCCUAAUACAUGCAAGUCGAGCGAGCGGAACCAACAGAUUUACUUCGGUAAUGACGUUGGGAAAGCGAGCGGCGGAUGGGUGAGUAACACGUGGGGAACCUGCCCCUAAGUCUGGGAUACCAUUUGGAAACAGGUGCUAAUACCGGAUAAUAAAGCAGAUCGCAUGAUCAGCUUUUGAAAGGCGGCGUAAGCUGUCGCUAAGGGAUGGCCCCGCGGUGCAUUAGCUAGUUGGUAAGGUAACGGCUUACCAAGGCGACGAUGCAUAGCCGAGUUGAGAGACUGAUCGGCCACAUUGGGACUGAGACACGGCCCAAACUCCUACGGGAGGCAGCAGUAGGGAAUCUUCCACAAUGGACGCAAGUCUGAUGGAGCAACGCCGCGUGAGUGAAGAAGGUUUUCGGAUCGUAAAGCUCUGUUGUUGGUGAAGAAGGAUAGAGGUAGUAACUGGCCUUUAUUUGACGGUAAUCAACCAGAAAGUCACGGCUAACUACGUGCCAGCAGCCGCGGUAAUACGUAGGUGGCAAGCGUUGUCCGGAUUUAUUGGGCGUAAAGCGAGCGCAGGCGGAAAAAUAAGUCUAAUGUGAAAGC
rnacentral:rRNA from 1 species